rnacentral:misc_RNA from 1 species
UAAUAAGUGUUUUAUGGCACUUUUUAAAUCCAUAUCCACCUUGUGUGCAAUGUCAGCCGAUCUUCUUCAUGGAGAUCGACCAAACAUCAACCUUUAUUUUUUAACUCUUUGUCUGAAAAAUAUUAUGAAUAAACAAUUCAAGAUA